UUGACAUCCAGCGAACUUGGCAGAGAUGCCUUGGUGCCUUCGGGAACGCUGAGACAGGUGCUGCAUGGCUGUCGUCAGCUCGUGUUGUGAAAUGUUGGGUUAAGUCCGCAACGAGCGCAACCCUUAUCCUUUGUUGCCAGCGAUUCGGUCGGGAACUCAAAGGAGACUGCCGGUGAUAAACCGGAGGAAGGUGGGGAUGACGUCAAGUCAUCAUGGCCCUUACGAGUAGGGCUACACACGUGCUACAAUGGCGCAUACAAAGAGAAGCGACCUCGCGAGAGCAAGCGGACCUCAUAAAGUGCGUCGUAGUCCGGAUCGGAGUCUGCAACCCGACUCCGUGAAGUCGGAAUCGCUAGUAAUCGUGGAUCAGAAUGCCACGGUGAAUACGUUCCCGGGCCUUGUACACACCGCCCGUCACACCAUGGGAGUGGGUUGCAAAAGAAGUAGGUAGCUUAACCUCCGGGAGGGCGCUUACCACUUUGUGAUUCAUGACUGGGGUGAAGUCGUAACAAGGUAGGCGUAGCGAG
rnacentral:rRNA from 1 species